UACGUAGGGUCCGAGCGUUUGUCCGGAAUUACUGGGCGUAAAGAGCUCGUAGGUGGUUUGUCGCGUUGUCCGUGAAAACUCACAGCUUAACUGUGGGCGUGCGGGCGAUACGGGGCAGACUGGAGUACUGCAGGGGAGACUGGAAUUCCUGGUGUAGCGGUGGAAUGACGCAGAGUAUCAGGAGGAACACCGGUGGGCGAAGGCGGGGUCUCUGGGCAGUAACUGACGCUGGAGGAGCGGAAAGCGUGGGGAGCGAACAGG
rnacentral:rRNA from 1 species